UACGGAGGGUGCGAGCGUUGUCCGGAAUCACUGGGCGUAAAGGGCGCGUAGGUGGCACGGGUAGUCGUCGGUGAAAGCUCAGGGCUCAACCCUGAGUCGGCCGGUGAUACUCCCGAGCUCGAGUGUGGUAGAGGCCAAUGGAAUUCCGGGUGUAGCGGUGGAAUGCGUAGAGAUCCGGAAGAACACCGGUGGCGAAGGCGGUUGGCUGGGCCACAACUGACACUGAUGCGCGACAGCGUGGGGAGCAAACAGG
rnacentral:rRNA from 1 species